AACUCUUCAUUCAGCAGAGGUUAAACGUAUGGGCUCCAACUAGAAAAAGAUGGCCAUUGGAUUGGCGUUUAAGCCCUUCCUGAUGCAAUUUGUGGUGAACAUGGUUUGUUACUGGAGGUCAUUAGCAAUGGAAAGCUGAAAGGUGCUGUGCAUCGAGCGGUUACAAAUUCAGUUUGUUCCAGGAACUCACUUGUGACCUUCGUAGGUUGCCCAACUGAUGCCACUAUUAAGCCUGCAACAGCACUUAUUUCUCCCACCAAUCCACCGCUUUAUCGAGCAUUCAACAACAAAGACUUUCAUGAGUUUUGUGUUUGCCAAUAACGCUGAAUUUGAGGCUGUUAUUGCAUACUUAAAACUCAAAACCUAAGCCAGAAAUUAGCUGUGCUACAUUUGUGGAGAAGCCAGAAUCAAUCUAUGAUUCCAAGUACUGUUUUGGUUGGCUAAAAAAAAAAAAGAAAUCUAUAAUUUCAGGUGGUAUGGAAUGCGCCUUAAAUAAUCGAGCAGGCCACUUUCUUUUCAGCACAAUGUAUCAUACUAAAAGGAGUUGCUUUUGUAUUAAAAUAAGACAUUCGCAUUUUUAAGAGGAUCAAUAGUGAUUUUCGACAUAGUA